rnacentral:rRNA from 1 species
GCAUCGAUGAAGAACGCAGCGAAAUGCGAUACGUAGUGUGAAUUGCAGAAUUCCGUGAACCAUCGAAUCUUUGAACGCAUAUUGCGCUCGAGGCUUCGGCCAAGAGCAUGUCUGCCUCAGCGUC